rnacentral:misc_RNA from 1 species
GUACUCUCACACUCCCAAUCUUUGGAUGGGGAGCGGUGGACUUGGGUGUUGCUGCUUACUGUGGCUCACCUUAAAUGGAUUAGUGCACCUCUUGGUUGGACAUAGUACGGCGUGAUAAUGUCUUCGCCGGCACCUCACUAGAGGGUGGCUGAUCAGGAGCUCUGUGCUCUCCAACUGUCUUCAGACAACAACUGACA